AUGCAUCCGCGACGACGGCGGCGGCGGGAGUACGUUGCCAACGACGGGCAGGCGGCCGGAGAGAUGAAGAACGCGCAGCACGGAUGCACGGGAGACACAGGCACCCAUAGACGCUGUGUCAUGUUCUUGGCUGGAGAUUACUCAGGAGCUGCCGGAGCUCUUCAAAGACGCAGCCCAACCGCUAGCCCCGGCGCUCUACCAUUGCGGCCUUCAUGGCGCUCGGCGAAUAGCCCAUGGUGUACAGGCCGCGACGCACAGAUUGCGACGAACAGGGCCACGGUGAACAGGUUCAUGACAAAGGAUAUACAGGCAUACAGAUUUUGCAUCAUGCUCUUGGAAGAGACGGCAUGGCGGAACCGGAGCUCGCUGACGACGCAGCCCGAGACUCGCCUUUCCCUUCAGGACGCACAGAUUGCGAGGAAUAAGGCCACGGUGGACAUGUUUAUGGCGAAGGAGACACCGGUGUACAGGUUUUGUGUCACACUCUUGGAGGAGACGCAACGCCGCCACGGGGCGACACUUGAAUCUACUCCGACUUCUACAUCAACACACUCCCCAAAUCCCGUCGAAGCUCCGACGAGGCGAAGCCACUUCACCGACAUGUCUUCUUUCGAUGAAGCUAUCCAUAUCUUGCCGGGCACCGACGAGGCAAAGGCAAGACACACCGUGUCUGAGACCGACUAG
rnacentral:rRNA from 1 species